CCGCCCCGCCCCGCCCCGCGCCGCCGCCCCCAACCCCUAGGCUGAGCCGGAGGGAGGGACCCAGAAGGGAGGGAGGCGGAAGGGAGGCCAAAAAGGAGGGGGCCACGUGAAAGAGGCCGGCCGACCGAGACCGAGGGAGACUGAGCGGAGCGCACGCCCUGGAAGGAGAGAGCCGGAGAGUUCGGGAGGCAAGACCCCCAGAGACGAGAGUCGGAGGGAUCAAACGACACAGAUGGAGUCUUGCUCUGUCACCCAGACUGGGUACAGUGGCACGAUCUCGGCUCACUACAAACUCCACCUCCUGGGUUCAAGAGAUUCUCCUACCUCAGCCUCCCGAGUAGCUGGGACUACAGAAAGAAAAGUGCCACAUAAGGAGAGACACACGGGGGGAACGCCAUGUGACAAUGGAGUUAUGAAGCUGCAAGCCAGGUCAUGCCCAGGAGUGCCAGCAGCCACCAGGAGCUAAGGAGAAAGAGUGGGAUCCAUCCUGCCCUGGACCCUGCAGAAGGGGCACAGCCCUGCUGGUGCUUUCAUUUCAGACUUCUGGCCUCCAGAGUUGUAAAAGAAUAAACUCACUCUGUGGUUCUAAGCUGCCCAGUUUGUGGUAGAUCAUUACAGCAGCCACCGGAAACUAAUACGUGAUUAUAUCAUUAAUAAGUGGUAGUGUCAAACUCAGACUAGUUUGGCUAUAAAAUUUCUGCAAUGCUACUUUGUUGUUUUGGUGAUUUCAAGCAAAUUAUUUCACCUCACUUCUCUAUGCCUCAAUUUCCUUUUCUGUAAAAUGGCAUUACUGAUGAAACUUAUUUCGUGGAGUUGCUGUGAGGUUUAAAUACAGUAGGUGUGGUAUCAGAGGUGAACAUGCCCUUUUCCGAUAAGGUAUUUGCAUGUAUCAUGGUGGGAAAUUUCUUCUGCCUGAAAUCUUCUUAGUUCAGGGAUUCUGAACUAAGGAUUCAGAUUUUCAUCUGCUUUAUUGAAGGGUGUGUAUACUAUAGUUAUUUAGGCACAGGUCUGUUCCUUGUUUGAGGUCUUGAUGUUCAAAAAUUUAAAGUUAGCCUUGAAUACAGGGAAGAUUUUGGUUGCAUGUAUUUCAUUAUGGGGUAUACCUUUGCCCUCUCCAGCACAAAAAAAAUAUUACUAAAAGAAAAUUGAUAAAUUCCUGGCAACAUACAACCUCCCAAGAUUAAAUCAGGAAGAAAUUGAAACCCUGAACAGACCAAUAAUGAGUUCCAAGAUGGAAUCAGUAAUAAAAGACCUACCAACAAAAAGAGCCCUGCACCAGGUGAAUUCACAGACAAAUUCUACCACACGUACAAAGAACAGCUGGUACCAAUCCAACUGAAACUUUUCCAAAAAAUCAAGAAGGAGGGUAAUAUGGUUUGGAUCUGUAUCCCUACCCAAAUUUCAUGUUUAAAUGUAAUCCCCAACGCUGGUGGUAGAGCCUGGUGGGAGGUGAUUAGAUCAUGGCAGUUUCUCAUGGUUUAACAUCAUCCCCCCUUGGUGCUGUGGUCACAAGAGUGAGUGAGUUCUCAUGAUAUCUGGUUGUUUAAAAGUGUGUGGCACCUCCCCUUUCUUCUCUUCCUACUGCUCUGGCCAUGUGGAGUGCUUCAUUCCUUCUUUGCCUUCUGCCAUGAUUGGAAGCUUUUUGAGGCCUCCCCAGAAGCAGAAGCCACUAUACUUCCUGUACAAACUGCAGAACCAUGAUCCAAUUAAACCUCUUUUCUUUAUAAAUUACCCAGUCUCAGGUAUUUCUUUACAGCAAUGGGAGAACAGACUAAUACAGAGGGAUUCCUCCCUAACUCAUUCUAUGAAACUGGCAUCAUCUUGAUACCAAAAGUUGGCAAAGACACAAUAAACAAAAACUACAGUCCAAUAUCUCUGAUGAACAUAGGCACAAAAAUCCUCAACAAAAUACUAGAAAACUGAAUCCAGUAGCAUAUCAAAAAGUUAAUUCAUCAUGACCAAGUAGACUUUAUUCCCGGGAUGCAAGGUUAGUUCAACAUACACAAAUCAAUAAAUGUGAUUCACCACAUAAACAGAAUUAAAAACAAAAACCAUAUCAUCAUCUCAACAGAUGAAGAAAAAGCUUUCAAUAAAUCCCAGUAUCCCUUCAUGAUAAAACCCUCAAUAAACUAGGCAUUGAAGGAACGUACCUCAAGAUAGUAAGAGCCAUCUAUGACAAACCUACAACCAACAUCAUAUUAAAUGGGCAAAAGCUGGAAGCAUUCCUCUUAAGAACUGGAAAAAGACAAGAAUGCCCACUCUCACCACCCCUAUUCAAUAUAGUACUGGAAGUCCUAGCCAGAGAAAUCAACAAAAGAAAGAAAUAAGAGGCAUCCAAAUAGGAAAAGAAGUCAAAUGACGUCUCUUUGCUGGUGAAAUAACACUAUGCCUAGAAAACCCUAAAGACUCCAUCAAAAUGCUCCAAGACCUAAUAAAUAACUUUAGUAAAGUUUCAGGAUACAAAAUCAAUAUUCAAAGAUCAGUAGCAUUUCAGUACACCAAUAUGUUCAAGCUGAGAGUCAAAUCAAGAAUGCAAUUCCAUUUACACUAGCCACAAAAAAUAAAAUAUCUAGUGAUAUGGUUUGGCUGUGUCCCCAUCCAAAUCUCAACUUGAACUGUAUCUCCCAGAAUUCACAUGUGUUGUGGGAGGAACCCAGGGGGAGGUAAUUGAAUCAUGGGGGCUGGUCUUUCCCGUGUUAUUCUCGUGACAGUGAAAAAGUCUCAUGAGAUCUAAUGGGUUUAUCAGGGGUUUCUGCUUUUGCUUCUGGCUCAUUUUUCUCUUGCCACUGCCAUGUAAGAAGUGCCUUUCACUUCCCACCAUGAUUCUUAGGCUUCCCCAGCCAUGUGGAACUCUAAAUCCAAUUAAACCUCUUUUUGUUCCCAGUUUCAGGUAUGUCUUUAUCAGUAGCAUGAAAAUGAACUAAUAUAUCUAGGAAUAUAUCUUACCAAGGAGGUGAAAGACCUAUACAAGUAGAACUACAAAACACUGCUAAAAGAAAUCACAGGUGACACAAACAAAUGAAAGAACAUUCCAUGCUCAUGGAUUGGGAGAAUCAAUAUUACUAAAAUG
rnacentral:lncRNA from 1 species